GACGAACCGAGCGAACGUUGUUCGGAAUCACUGGGCUUAAAGGGCGCGUAGGCGGGCUGUCAAGUCUGGGGUGAAAUCCCGCGGCUCAACCGUGGAACUGCCUCAGAUACUGACGGCCUCGAGGGAGGUAGGGGCGAGCGGAACGGAUGGUGGAGCGGUGAAAUGCGUUGAUAUCAUCCGGAACUCCGGUGGCGAAGGCGGCUCGCUGGACCUCUUCUGACGCUGAGGCGCGAAAGCUAGGGAGCAAACGGG
rnacentral:rRNA from 1 species